AUGACAAAGCUGAAAGAGCCCAUUGUAACACACCCACUUGGGCUUUGGGAGUUGCAGACACCCACCCCUAGACACUACUGGUGGCGAAGGUGGAGCCCAAAGCACUUGCCCCAGCUCCUGCAUCUGGCCCGUUUGUGUGCUCCCACUCCCGUAAAAGAUUUGAGCUCCCAGCAGCUGAACAGAGUGCAACACCCCUGUCACAUGUCCUGCAAGAAGCAGGGGCCAGGGAACUCUCCCACCUCAAAGAUUCUGCAAUCUGAGGAUGAAUGCAGCUCAAUGUGUCGUUGGUUUCAUCUGGGGUCUCUCAUGUGUCUACAGUUGUCUGGGGGAUUGACUAAGACUGGAAAAUCCAAAAUGGACUUAUACCUCUUGUGCCUCAUUUUUCACUGGAUCUCCAUAAAUUCUGUCUUCUUGGGGUCCGUGGAACUGAAUCUUUGAUGAAGUGUAGAAAAGAGAUGAAGACUGUGUCAGAGGAAAUAAUUUAUCAAAAGUAAUUGUAAGAGUUUGUCAGUACUGGCAAGAGAAAGUUCUGUAUUAUCUAGUUUCAGUCUGAAUGACUUUCAGCCUUAAGACCUCCAACAGCAAGGCAAAAGAAUUGAGGAACCUGAAGUUACUCCCACCGCCCACCCACCUACUCCACUGCAUGGAGAGAGAAAAAUGAGAUGAAGCUGAUUGGGAGCUGGGAGGCUGCAGGGGGCCAUGUGGCAAGGAAGAACAGGGAGGAAUAUCAGAAACAAAGGUGACGUUCUUGUCAUCCUAGGAGGAGAUAUGUACGUGCUGAUGGACUCUAGCUUUUGACUUUAACUUUUAUUUCAAGUUCAGGGAUACAUGUGAAGCUUUGUUAUAUAGGUAAAUUCAUGUCCUGUGGGUUUGUUGAACAGAUUAUUUCAUUACUGAGGUAUUAAGCCUAGUACCCAUUAGUUAUUUUUCCUGAUGCUCUCCCACCUCUCAUCCUCCAUCCUCCAAUAGGUCCCAGUUUCUGUUUUUCUGCUCUAUGUAUGUGUUCUCAUUGUUUAGCUCCCACUUAUAGGUGAGAACAUGUAGUUUCGAUUUUCUGUUGCUGUGUUAGUUUGCUAAGAAUAAUCACCUCCAGCUCCAUCUAUGUUCCUGCAAAGGACAUGAUCUCAGUUUUUCUUAAUGGCUGCCUAGUAUUCCAUGGUGUAUAUGAACCAUAUUUUCUUUGUCCAGUCUACCACUGUGAGCAUUUAGGUUGAUUCCUUGUUUUUACUGUUUUGAAUAGUGCUGCAAUAAACAUACACAUGCAUGUGUCUUUAUGACUGAAAGAUUUAUAUUCCUUUGGGUAUAUAUAUCCAGUAGUGGGAUUGCUAAGUCAAAUGGUAUUUCAGUUUUUAGGUCAUCGAGGAAUCGUCACACUGUCUUCCACAAUAGUUAAACUAAUUGACCAUCCAACCAACCAUAUGUGUUGCUUUUUCUCUGCAACCUCACCAGCAUCUCCUGUUUUGUGACU
rnacentral:lncRNA from 1 species